AGGAGUCAUUGUUAACUGCACAUUAUGGGAGAGUUACGGAACAAAAUUUUUGGACUUCUACCACGACGAAAAAAACAGUGGUGCUAUUGUAAUAAUACUAACUCAUGCAAUGAUAAAGGAAUCACAAGUCUCAAAUGGAUGGAGUGGAUCUAAGUUGCUUAUUAACGAAGACAUUCCAGAGAUAACUGAGUAUUUAUCAAAGUUACCGUCAAAUGAGCAGACUGAAAAGCCUUCGCAGUCUUCGAAGGGAAUGUCUCUUUGGUCUGGUGCCUCUCAAUUCACCCCAGUCGAAAGUUUCGUUCAUAAGGCCAAGUGUAUUUCUCUC